rnacentral:rRNA from 1 species
AAUCUUGCGCAAUGGGCGAAAGCCUGACGCAGCCAUGCCGCGUGAAUGCUGAAGGUCUUAGGAUUGUAAAAUUCUUUCACCGGGGACGAUAAUGACGGUACACGGAGAAGAAGCUCCGGCUAACUUCGUGCCCGCAGCCGCGGUAACACGAAGGGGGCUAGCGUGGCUCGGAAUUACUGGGCGUAAAGGGGGCGUACGCGGACAUUUAAGUCAGGGGUUAAAUCCCAGAGCUCAACUCUGGAACUGCCUUUGAUACUGGGUGUCUUGAGUGUGAGAGAGGUAUGUGGAACUCCGAGUGUAGAGGUUAAAUUCGUAGAUAUUCGGAAGAACACCAGUGGCGAAGGCGACAUACUGGCUCAUUACUGACGCUGAGGCGCGAAAGCGUGGGGAGCAAACA